rnacentral:rRNA from 1 species
GAUGAACGCUGGCGGCGUGCCUAAUACAUGCAAGUCGAGCGAACAGAUAAGGAGCUUGCUCCUUUGACGUUAGCGGCGGACGGGUGAGUAACACGUGGGUAGCCUACCUAUAAAACUGGAAUAACUCCGGGAAACCGGGGCUAAUGCCGGAUAACAUUUAGAACCGCAUGGUUCUAAAGUGAAAGAUGGUUUUACUAUCACUUAUAGAUGGACCCGCGCCGUAUUAGCUAGUUGGUAAGGUAACGGCUUACCAAGGCAACGAUACGUAGCCGACCUGAGAGGGUGAUCGGCCACACUGGAACUGAGACACGGUCCAGACUCCUACGGGAGGCAGCAGUAGGGAAUCUUCCGCAAUGGGCGAAAGCCUGACGGAGCAACGCCGCGUGAGUGAUGAAGGUCUUCGGAUCGUAAAACUCUGUUAUUAGGGAAGAACAAAUGUGUAAGUAACUGUGCACGUCUUGACGGUACCUAAUCAGAAAGCCACGGCUAACUACGUG